AUACGAAGGGGGCUAGCGUUGUUCGGAAUUACUGGGCGUAAAGCGCACGUAGGCGGAUAUUUAAGUCAGGGGUGAAAUCCCAGAGCUCAACUCUGGAACUGCCUUUGAUACUGGGUAUCUCGAGUAUGGAAGAGGUAAGUGGAAUUCCGAGUGUAGAGGUGAAAUUCGUAGAUAUUCGGAGGAACACCAGUGGCGAAGGCGGCUUACUGGUCCAUUACUGACGCUGAGGUGCGAAAGCGUGGGGAGCAAACAGGAUUAGAAACCCCAGUAGUCC
rnacentral:rRNA from 1 species